AGUGUAAUGAAACUGGGCUAGGGAAAGGUCCCCAUCUUUUCCAAGGAAUAAUUGUGCUUUUCCUGUCCUCUGUUGGUGCCCCCAUGUUUGCAUCAGGUGCGCACCUGACCUGGAGUCCGGGAUCUACUCGAAGCUCCAGGAAGAGCUGACUGGGGGUCUGCAGGGAGGGACCCUGGAACAAGAGUCAGGACCUCUCUCUGGGUCCCAGUGCCUGAGCCACCUCAGGGUUGGGUCCUCAAUCCGAUGACUGAUAUCUUUAUGAGAGAGAGGAAAGGGAGGUUUCACACACCUGAGGAAGAAGGUACUGUGAAGAAUGAGGCAAACAAUAAUGUCAUCCUGCCACAAACCAAGGAGCUCCAGAAGCCACCAGACACUAGAAGAGUCAAGAAUGAAUUCUCCCCUAGAGCCUCGAGAGAGAGCACAACCAUGCUCAACACGUUGGCUUCGGACUUCAGGCCUUCAGAGCCCUGAGACAAGACACUUUUGAGGUUCUAAACCGCAGAAUUUGUGGAGAUUUAUCAUAGAGCCCUAGGGAGGCAGCAGAUGGCUGAAAUCCUGGUGUGACGUGGCUGGAUCUUGCAUUACCUGAGGACCCCUGCACCGGUGACUGGGACAGGUCCAGAAUUUUCCUAUAAAUAUAUUAAGAUGCGGAUCAGUGCUGAGCAGCAGUUAGGCCAAGGCCACUCCUCGCUGCCCUGGCGCCGUCUCUCACCGAGC